CAGUAGCCGCGGUAAUACGGAGGGUGCAAGCGUUAAUCGGAAUUACUGGGCGUAAAGCGCACGCAGGCGGUCUGUCAAGUCAGAUGUGAAAUCCCCGGGCUUAACCUGGGAACUGCAUUUGAAACUGUCAGGCUGGAGUCUUGUAGAGGGGGGUGGAAUUCCAGGUGUAGCGGUGAAAUGCGUAGAGAUCUGGAGGAAUACCGGUGGCGAAGGCGGCCCCCUGGACAAAGACUGACGCUCAGGUGCGAAAGCGUGGGGAGCAAACAGGAUUAGAUACCCGAGUAGUCCCUGUCUCUUAUAC
rnacentral:rRNA from 1 species